AGUUUCAUUAGAAAAAUAGUUGAAAUUUCUAUCACAUUCAUACGAGCGAAUUCCAACAGCAAUCGACAAAAUUGUAGAUGAAAACUAACCCACACUUCACGUAUUUUUACCACCUACUCACAUUCUGCUUAUAUUUUUACAGGUGAACCGUACGUAUUUUCCACCAAAGUAGAUAUGACAGUUCAUAAUCUCAAAUACUGGCACGUAGGCUCAACUCGAGUGUAGGUACAUACCUAUUUCAGAAAGGGGAAGCCAAAGAGUAGAGGUACAUGAACGAAGAAAAAGAUGAAGAAAUGAAAAACAGCACGAAAUAUGCGUUAUCGAAUACUGGAAUUAAUUGCGCCGAAAACUUGGACGAGCGACGGUAUAUCUAUAUAUGAAUUAAAAUCAAUCAAUGAUAACACGUCGAAAACGAGAAGCCUGCUCUACUGAAUUGAUUUUCCGGAAUUACGCGAGGUUAUUGCCUCUGUGUAUUAUACGACGAUACUAUAUAUAUACAGCCUUACAGUUCGUGCGAAAAAAACAGAGAAACGAAUCGAGCCGAAAAACGCUUUCAAAAGAUGAUUCCUAAAAUAAGAAAUUCCACCCGAGAUACGCCGCCGCAGAAAAUAUAUACCGGCUGAUAAAACGUCGACUUUCAAAGCGUGUAGGACUAAAUUCGAUUACGAAUGAGAAAAGCCGGAUGAGCGUGAUAACGAGUACGUACGUGUUUUGAGAAUUUAAAUAUCUUUUCACGAGGACCAGUAGUCGUAUAGUUGCGAGAUGAGCUGCGACUGAUUCACUGACUCAUCGUCGUCCAGGAGUCAAUUCAGCGAAAAAUUAUUCGUCAGUAAUAUCGAUAUUAUCUUAUGAAAUUUGUUUGCAAGGCAAAGAAGUAUACACGUCAACACGUGCAAUAUUUAAAUAUACAAAUUGAUAGGCCUUUGGCUUAGAUUAAUUGUGGAAUGUAUGCAUAGAAAAUUGCAAUUUUUAAAAUUUUAGUACAUCUACGAAUAAGAAAUUUUUCCCGCCUAAUAAAAUUAGAAUCACAUGGUCCCAACUCGAAUAUAAUAAACAGAAUCUACUGUAUCAGAAAAUGUGCAAUAGUAGGAGUUGUCAAAAUCCAAUAUGAACCUGGGAUAAAUGUCAACCCCCUCCCCUCCCACCUUCUUUUCACCGUUCAAGUGAACUCCUGAUUUAAAUAAUCUAUUUAAUUAUGUUUUUUUUAUCAAUU